UACGUAGGGUGCGAGCGUUAAUCGGAAUUACUGGGCGUAAAAUGUGCGCAGGCGGCCGAGCAAGUCGAGUGUGAAAGCCCCGGGCUUAACCUGGGAACUGCGCUCGAAACUACUUGGCUGGAGUGUGGCAGAGGGAGGUGGAAUUCCACGUGUAGCGGUGAAAUGCGUAGAGAUGUGGAGGAACACCGAUGGCGGAAGGCAGCCUCCUGGGCCAACACUGACGCUCAUGCACGAAAGCGUGGGGAGCAAACAGG
rnacentral:rRNA from 1 species